rnacentral:rRNA from 1 species
GAGCGGAUGAAGGGAGCUUGCUCCCUGAUUCAGCGGCGGACGGGUGAGUAAUGCCUAGGAAUCUGCCUGGUAGUGGGGGACAACGUUUCGAAAGGAACGCUAAUACCGCAUACGUCCUACGGGAGAAAGCAGGGGACCUUCGGGCCUUGCGCUAUCAGAUGAGCCUAGGUCGGAUUAGCUAGUUGGUGAGGUAAUGGCUCACCAAGGCGACGAUCCGUAACUGGUCUGAGAGGAUGAUCAGUCACACUGGAACUGAGACACGGUCCAGACUCCUACGGGAGGCAGCAGUGGGGAAUAUUGGACAAUGGGCGAAAGCCUGAUCCAGCCAUGCUGCGUGUGUGAAGAAGGUCUUCGGAUUGUAAAGCACUUUAAGUUGGGAGGAAGGGUUGCUGAUUAAUACUCUGCAAUUUUGACGUUACCGACAGAAUAAGCACCGGCUAACUCUGUG